rnacentral:lncRNA from 1 species
CUGUCAGAUUUGCUCUUAAUGCUUUGGUUUUUGAGUUAUAAGCCAAAAACUGCAUUUUACCCCUAUGUUCUAUUUUUAGCCAUGGCGGCCAUCUUGGUUGGUUGGGCGGGUCACUGGACACAUUUUUUAAACUAAAAACCCCAAUGAUGAUUAUGGCCAAGUUUGGUUAAAUUUGGCCCAGUAGUUUCAGAGGAGAAGAUUUUUCUAAAAGAUUACUAAGAUUUACGAAAAAUGGUUAAACAUUGACUAUAAAGGGCAAUAACUCCUAAAGGGGUCAACUGACCAUUUUGAUCAUGUUGACUUAUUUGUAGAUCUUACUUUGCUGAACAUUAUUGCUGUUUACAGUUUAUCUCUAUCUAUAAUAAUAUUCAAG